GGUUCCAUGGUCUAGCGGUGAGGACAUUGGACUCUGAAUCCAGUAACCCGAGUUCAAAUCUCGGUGGAACCU
rnacentral:tRNA from 1 species